rnacentral:sRNA from 1 species
UGCAACGUUGCCACGCGACGCGCAGCA